GACGAACGCAGGCUGCGUGCUAAACACAUGCAAGUCGAACGCUGAAACCCUGGUGCUUGCACCGGGGUGGAUGAGUGGCGAACGGGUGAGUAACACGUGAGUAACCUGCCCCCGACUUCGGGAUAAGCCCGGGAAACUGGGUCUAAUACCGGAUAUGAGCGCCCCUCGCAUGAGGGAUGCUGGAAAGUCUUUUCGGUUGGGGAUGGGCUCGCGGCCUAUCAGUUUGUUGGUGAGGUAAUGGCUCACCAAGACGACGACGGGUAGCCGGCCUGAGAGGGCGACCGGCCACACUGGGACUGAGACACGGCCCAGACUCCUACGGGAGGCAGCAGUGGGGAAUAUUGCACAAUGGGGGAAACCCUGAUGCAGCGACGCAGCGUGCGGGAUGACGGCCUUCGGGUUGUAAACCGCUUUCAGCAGGGAAGAAGCCCCUUGGGGUGACGGUACCUGCAGAAGAAGUACCGGCUAACUACGUGCCAGCAGCCGCAGUAA
rnacentral:rRNA from 1 species